GGCUGGAUGGCCGAGUGGUCUAAGGCGGUAGACUCAAGAUUCAUAAUCUUCCUCGGAAUAAUCUGAGGUGUAUUCUACUCUCGAAAGAGGCGCGCGUUCGAAUCGCGCUCCAGUCA